rnacentral:lncRNA from 8 species
GAGUACUCCAAACCCAACUUUUAUAUUGGCACAAAUAAUAGUUUUUUCACUAUAAGCCCUAUAUUGUCAACAUACCAGUCUGAACAUUGUAUUUGUCAACAGUGGUCUUAAAAUAAUGUUUUAAAAACGUAUUUCAAAAUAUAUUCCUUCUUGCAUUUCAUUGUAAGCACAAUACAAAUCGACUAACAUGUAUCUUUUGAAUGAGUUCCUCUCUUUGCAAUGUUUUGAAAUACGGGCUUUUAUUUUGAAGGGUCAUUACCAUAGGAAAGUGACAUCAUCGUUAGUGCUGCUAGCAGAAUAGUAGUGUCAGCAGUCAAUUCUUCCCAAAGAAUUGAUCAGAGGGAGGCAACUUUCUAACUGGAUGCUAAAUAUGCAUAUCGUUCUUCACUAGGAUUUUCACAUAUCCAUUUUUGUAUUAUGUACUUUCGGUCAAGUUGAUGUAAACCAGUUGCGUUAUUGAGGUUAGUUUUGUUCUCAUUUUAACAAGGACUUUUCCCUCCAUGCUCGGGCAAAGAAACGGGAUAGCAACGGGAUGGGUGUAUAGCGGUAUCGGCCUAAAGUGAGAUGGGAUCAUUGCAUUGAUUUCUUGGAUUUGUUUCUGGUGUGAAGUUAUGACAAUGACUGGAUCGAUGGAAACUUCUUUCAAACAAGCUUUAAAGAAACCUCCAUCACAAAGGACAACAGAGGACCUGCACACCGUUUACUGUCACCUCUACCACAUGGAUGUCCUGUCCCACCUCAGGGAGCACCAGCUCAGGUCAGAUUUACCUCUCCGUCCAACCAUUACACCAAAACACCCACCCUGCUAAAGCUGCCUACACCACAUCUUAGAGUAGAAGCGCUGAUUUAGGAUCAGUUUGGCCUUUUUUUUUUUUAAACAUCAUGAAUGAGAUUGGGCUUUUCUAACAUGGUCUGGGCGGGGGACCUGAUUCUAGAUCAGCACUCCUACUCUGAUGAGAGGCAUUAUGAAUACAGGCCCAGGUGUGGAAGCUGCAACUAGUGUUCUGUGACUCAUCUACAUGACCCUUCCAGUCCAAUCUCCUGUUCAUACAUAGGGCAGAGUUGACUUGCGCACGCUGGGGCCGACGUGCAGGCCAGGCCACGCAGCCAUACACCUCUGAGACAUUAACCACUACCAUUCCACGUAAUCAACACUCGGAUAUGAGAGCUGUCAGUCUGGUUGUGGUCAUGUAUGAACUGAUCGUCUUUAAGUUGGUAGUGUCUGAACUAGUGAUGGGAGAAAAAAUAGAUGCAGUUACAUAUCGGGAUAUUGCAGAAUAUCGGGAUAUUCUUUUUGACGAUGUAUUGUUUUGACAAUAUCGCAAUAUUAUUUUUCCGCUAGUCGGCUGUACCUGCGCCAGAACUCCAGCGUUUUUUUCCUUCUUCAUAGCUUGUUCUCCAUCUUCUUUUUAAACAGGGAGCCAAUUUGUUUUUAGCACUUUUAUUUCUCUGACUGAUUCAAACUAGUUUUUUUAUCAUGGCUCUCUCUUGUCCCUCUUUAGCAGAUAUGGUGAGUAAUGUGUUUGGAACAUCGAAUUGCAAUAAAAUCGCAGUAUUAAAUCGCAAUACAUAUCGUAUCGGCACCAAAGUAUUGUGAUAAUAUUGUAUUGUGAGGUCCCAGGCAUUUCCCAGCCCUAAUCCGCAUACAAGAGACCAGUGGCUGUUGCUUAAAUUCAACUGAGUUAAUAAACCAAACUGACUUUAUAAACAUUUUAUAACAGGCACCAGCAGGUUCUUUAGACCGGUAGGGCUGAAAAAGUUGGUAGUGUCAUAUGAAAUGAUCCUACAGUAUUCUAAAAUGUUGGUGUCAUAAGUAUCAUGACAGUUUGGCACCGUGAUAUUACCUUGGCGCUGGUAUACCGGGAAACACUACUCAUAAGAUAUGUAUUGCGAUUUCUUAUGAUUCAAAAUGUAUUGUGAUACUGUGAUUUUUAUUGCGAUUCGAUCUUUCAAACAUAUUGCUCAUCGUAUGUCUGCUGCAGAAGGACGAUAGUUUUGGUCAGUCAUAUAAAUAAAUGUGCUGAAGACAAUUUGGCUUCUUAUUUAAAAAGAUGGAGAACAAUCUGUACAGAGUUUUGGCUCAAGUACAUCCAACUAGUGCCAAAAUAAUAUUGUGAUAUUGUCAAAACGAUACAAUAUUUUGUUAAAAAUAAUAUCCCGAUAUGUAACUGUGUAAUUUGUUUCCCCAUCACUAAUCUGAACUGAUGAUGCGUAAACGUGUAAUGUAUGAAACUGAUCAUGUAGGAAACGUAUGUAUGGACUGAUAACUCAGACACUACUAGUUCAUACGUUUAGUGUUUUUUCAGGUCGCUAAUGUCCAAACAGUAGAGGAAAAAAUAUAUAUUUAUUUUUUGGGGGGUGGGGUCAGGAUGGAAAAACUAUUUCGGUGUAAAUUGAAACGACUAAAACCAGAUAUAAAGUAUGUAGAAAUGUUAACGGGCCUACAUCUUUUUCAGCAAUAUAAUCUUUGAGAAUCAACAAUCAACAAAAUAAAAGCUAAACAGCCAAGGAGAAUUGAAAAUUCCAAAACCAAUGAAUUUAGCAGUAUUGAUUUCGUUAUUAUGUAUGAGCAAAAGAACACAGCAUUAACCAUUGCAACAUGCGUAGAAUUGCAGGAAAUUAGCUUUCAAACUA